rnacentral:rRNA from 1 species
GACAAACGCUGGCGGCGUACCUAAGACAUGCAAGUCGAACGGGGCUCACCGCUUCGGCGGGGAGUCGAGUGGCGAACGGGUGAGUAACACGUGGGUGAUCUGCCCUGCACUUUGGGAUAAGCCUGGGAAACUGGGUCUAAUACCGAAUACACCUCAUUGGCUGCAUGGCUGGUGGGGGAAAGCUUUUNCGGUGUGGGAUGGGCCCGCGGCCUAUCAGCUUGUUGGUGGGGUGANGGCCUACCAAGGCGACGACGGGUAGCCGGCCUGAGAGGGUGUCCGGCCACACUGGGACUGAGAUACGGCCC